rfam:Stegodyphus mimosarum contig35056, whole genome shotgun sequence.
GCCUUCGUGGUGUAGUGGUCAGCACGCUCGGCGCGUAUUCGAGAAGUCCGUGGUUCGAGUCCCGGGCGAGGGCA